CGCAACAAAAGAGCUUCGACUUCCGUUCUCUUCUCUUUUCUUUUCUUAUUUAAAAAUUUGAUAGCCGGAUAGUUUCUAUAAGAGAGAGAGGGGAUGUUAUAUUCAUCGAAUGUUGUCUUGUGCAUAUCAUCAUCUAUUCGAUUCAGAUGGGAUAUUAUAGAAGAAGAGAGGGGGGAAGACAUUUGUGCGUCUUCUUUGCUAGAAAGAAAAUGACUAGGGCUGGCCGGAUCUCUUGUGUGUGAGCCAAAAGUUCACACACGGCCAUCAGCCGAAAGAAAUAAAUAAGAAAAUGGCUUCUUCUUCUUCUUUCUUCUUCUUUUGUUUCUUGUCCUUUUUGGAGGAUAUCCGCAACGGAUUUUUCAACUUCUGGGGGCUGUGAAAAAUAAUAGGAAAUAAGAAAAAGAAGAAACUUUGAUGGCUUGGAAGAAGAAGAAGAAGGAAGAGGUCACUGCCGGACACGGAGCGCCAGCAGCGACUCGACAGAGAAAAAAGAAAAACUUGGCCGCAAAACUCCGUAAAAAAAGGCGAAAAAAGUAACGACACAAACCCAAAAGGAGAAGAAGAAUAUUAUUAUUACAUGGCGCACUGUGUGUGUGUGUACAGGUGAGUUCAAUCACCUGACCCGUUGCACGGAAAAAAACGUAAAGACGUCCGGCCUUAAAAAAUAAGAAAAAAAACAGAUGACCGGACGGACUUCAUCCUGGAUUUGUGUGUUCGGUUCCCAAAGUGCUGUGUGUAGUGUAUAUCCGUUGUGAUGAGCCCCAGCAAACGAAACGUGUGCGCGUGCGGACUCAGCAAACGGGAACAUCGAGGAAACCGCAGUUUCAGAAGAAAAAAAGGGCGGCUUCUUCUUCUUCUUCUAGAUGAUGUGCGCCGGCGGUGUGGUGGUGGUGAAGCGGCGGGUGGUAUGACUAUAUAGUGGUGGCCAUCGGACGUGUGUAUAUUCUAUAGAGCUAAAAACACACACUUGAGCCGCCCGAGGAGGAACUCUAUAAAGGAAGGAAGGAAAAUAACACCUGGUAAUGAGCGGGGAGCAGCGUGAGGCACGCCCCAUCAUCAUCAGCCAAGAAAAAAAGGAACAUGACGGGCUGCAGCAACCGCCAGCACAGGACCGAGACGGCACAUCCGCAGCAACAACAACAACAACGUUGUCGUCUAUGUUGAGAAACUGCCUCUGGGCGGCACACAAUCCUCCAUGUAGGCCUCUCUUCUUUUCGUGAUAAGAAAUUGUGGGAUGUACCGCCGUCCUCUUGUGUAUUUUCUUCGGUCAUUCUCUUACAUAUCCAUUCCAUCCGGAAAUGGCGGCCAGUUGUGUUAGGGAGGGAGGCCAUAAGUUCCCGCGUCCGUCCUCCAUCUUCCGUGUCCCUUUUUUUCUUCUUUUACGUAACUGGGAAUCACGCUCCUGGCUCAUCGUCCAGUUACUUCAACUUGGCGGUUUGAACGUUGCAGCUCUCUCUCACACACAACUCGGAGAGAGAGAGAGAAGGAGAGGAUGUGAGAAAUUGGACGGCUGCAACUGCUGCAGCACGGAAGACAGAAAACUCUUGACCAAAAGUGAUCGUGG